GCGACCUUACUUGAACAUUAUCUGUUCUAUAGGUUGUACAUCUGUUUCCAUGGACACAAUGGAGACGCACACAACAAUCUGGAAGAUGAUACAGUUG
rnacentral:snoRNA from 1 species